GCUUGAGAGAAAUGACCAUUUUGCAGAUGUGGAUAAAGAGUGUAAUGCCCGUGAUCUGAAGCUGAAUGUCCUGUUUCUAAGUGACCAUAAGCAGCCAAUGAGACCCCAGAGGACAAAAGUAGCAUUCCGUGUUGGCCAUCAACAAACAGAGGCACAGCAUCACCUGGACUUCUCCCAGUGUAAAUGCUGGUCCAAAAAAAAAAGAGGAACCCCAAUUGCAAACAGGACAGAAACAAAGAAGCCAUGGAUGUGAAGUUAAGUCAACAGUUGAAAACAGGAAUAAUUAUGUUGAUCAAGACUAUGGAGAAGACGCAUUCACUGGGCAGAAGGGAUUAUGACAUAGUCACCCUUGUGGAAGAAAUUAUUAAAUGACAGCUUUAUUUUUCCAAUUCUAAGAUA